rnacentral:rRNA from 1 species
AUUGAACGCUGGCGGCAGGCCUAACACAUGCAAGUCGAACGAGUGGCGGACGGGUGAGUAAUGUCUGGGAAACUGCCUGAUGGAGGGGGAUAACUACUGGAAACGGUAGCUAAUACCGCAUACCAUCGGAUGUGCCCAGAUGGGAUUAGCUCGUAGGUGGGGUAACGGCUCACCGAGGCGACGAUCCCUAGCGGUUCGGAGAGGAUGACCAGCCCCCCUGCAACUGAGACACGUCCCAUGCUCCUACGGUAGGCAGCAGUGGGGAAUAUUGCACAAUGGGCGCAAGCCUGGUGCGGCCAUGCCGCGGGUAUGAAGAAGGCCUUCGGGUUGUAAAGUACUUUCAGCGGGGAGGCGUUACCCGCAGAAGAAGCACCGGCUAACUCCGUGCCAGCCGCCGCGGUAAUAC